GAAGACAGCCAUAAUAGUCCGGAAACACUCGAUCCCAUCUCGAACUCGAAAGUUAAGCAGACUAUGUUCGUGGAAUACUCUCUCAAGGGGAAACCAUGAAGCUGUCCUCG
rnacentral:rRNA from 1 species